GGUAGUCGAUCGGGUCAAGUGAUGGGGCUUCCCCCUUUGCCGUCUGUGCGAGACACGUCCGGGUGAUUCCUCGGCCUAUGUCUAGGCCGGCACGCCUAGGGCUGAGCUACGGCCGGAUACAAAAACGCUCCGCUGUCGAACGCCGGUUAAGAUAUCGUUGUUAGGGCAAGUACAAUGGUAUAGCCAGCUGCUCGCUAUAAGCCAUUGUCAUGUCAUCUAUAGCACAUCUUAUAGUCAACA
rnacentral:lncRNA from 1 species